rnacentral:rRNA from 1 species
UACAGAGGUCUCAAGCGUUGUUCGGAUUCAUUGGGCGUAAAGGGUGCGUAGGUGGCGCCAUAAGUCGGGUGUGAAAUUUCGGAGCUUAACUCCGAAACUGCAUUCGAUACUGUGGUGCUUGAGGACUGGAGAGGAGACUGGAAUUUACGGUGUAGCAGUGAAAUGCGUAGAGAUCGUAAGGAAGACCAGUGGCGAAAGCGACUUCCUGGACCAGUACCGACGUCAGGCACGAAAGCGUGGGGAGCAAACAGG